GACAGAGGCCUCGAGCGUUAGGCGGAAUCACUGGGCUUAAAGCGUGUGUAGGCGGAUCGUUAAGUACCUUGUGAAAUCCCACGGCUCAACCGUGGAACUGCUGGGUAUACUGGCGGUCUUGAGCCACCUAGGGGCAACUGGAACAAGCGGUGGAGCGGUGAAAUGCGUAGAUAUCGCUUGGAACGCCAACGGUGAAAACAGGUUGCUGGGGGUGUGCUGACGCUGAGACACGAAAGCCAGGGGAGCGAACGGG
rnacentral:rRNA from 1 species